UAAGUGAUGAUGAAGAGGGUCUCAUUCCAUUGUGGGCUGGAGCGUAGGGUCUCAUAAACCUCUUUGAUGAACAUCUGGCCUUGGUAGACAUCAUGGGAAGGGUGAUCAUCAGUGGCAGGUUUUUGCUUGGAAUCCAUGUAUCUUUGCUCGAUGACAACAUAGUUUGAGAGGGUGCCCUUUUUAGCAUGAUCCUUGAACUCCUGGUCAUAGGAGCGGAACUUAGUAAUGUACUUGAGCUUCCGAAGGUUGCGGUAAAAAAGGGUGGCAGGAAGGUUUUG
rnacentral:misc_RNA from 1 species